rnacentral:rRNA from 1 species
UACGUAGGGUGCAAGCGUUGUCCGGAUUUAUUGGGCGUAAAGAGCUCGUAGGCGGUCUGUCGCGUCGGAUGUGAAAACCCAGGGCUCAACCCUGGGCCUGCAUUCGAUACGGGCAGACUAGAGUGUGGCAGGGGAGACUGGAAUUCCUGGUGUAGCGGUGAAAUGUGCAGAUAUCAGGAGGAACACCGGUGGCGAAGGCGGGUCUCUGGGCCAAUACUGACGCUGAGGAGCGAAAGCGUGGGGAGCGAACAGG